rnacentral:misc_RNA from 1 species
AUUAGCUGCAUUGCGACGUUCCCUUUCUCACGCACACGCACACACCCACCCUCUCUCCCUCCCUCGCUUGGCUUCUCACUGCAUUUCGAGUAGUUUCUUUGCGUGUGCGCCCAUCAAGCGAUCUCUCCCCCUCUUCCGUCGUCUGUGCUCGCCCUGUAAGGCGACAACGCACAGACAGGUGUAAAUAGCAAAAAAAAAAUCGCUCUGCCGCUGGCCCUUCCCCGUCUUUAGCUUUCCCCUGCUUCUGAAGUUCAUGAGAAAAACGAGACAAGUCUUCUGUUCUUUCUUCUAUCUUAGUCCACUAGCACAAUACAAACUCACAGCAAAGAACGACAGGCACACGCACACACACACGCACACGCUCAGAGUCGCAGAGGGCGCCUACUUCAACUGGACGGUGACACCACGCUCUCUCAUCUCUACGUUUCGCGCCACACACCCGCACCCUCGUAAUCCUUCUCUCUCGAAUCCAUAAUUUUGUUGUUGUUGGAGCGUGUGCUCAGCCGUUCGGCCAUCUCACAUCAGUUGUGCCGUGUACUUGUGUGUGCGACGUGACUUUCUCCCUCCUCCCUCCUUCCCUCCCUCCCCCUUGCCUUUCUUUGUUUUUUUUUCCGCUUCCUUUUAUCUCCUCCUCCUCCGCUCUGCUUGCCAUCGACUUGUUCUGCCUACACGUUUCCGAACGCAAAAAAAAAACGGGCGGCUCUGUGACUCGAUCCGUCCUUUUUUUUCCCUCUUCUUCGCUCCACCCCUUUUUCGAACGCUUCGCUCUGCUUCGUCUUUGUCUCGUUGCUGCUCGUUUUUGUCCCCUGCCUCGCUCCCUCGCUCUGUGUGUGUGUGCGUGUGUACGGCCCCCCUCCCGCUACCGCAAUUCGACGUUGCUUAUUGCUUACGAAGUUUCCUCGCUAUUUCUUCUCUGUUCUAAAUUGUUCUUGCCCUUUUAUCAGCCGCCUCCCCCUUCCCCCUCCCUCUUUUUGUGCCAGAGUCCGUCAUUGACAACCUCCCCUCCCUCCCUCCCUCCCUCCCCCUCCCUCCUCUCUCGGAGUCCCUGCAUUACAUACAGUCACGCAUACGGCCACCAACCGAGAAAAAUUCAAUCAAACGUGCCUCCUUGACACGCGAGUUUGACGCGAUCGUUCUUCUUCAUCGCUGCAUCUUUUCCUCUGCUUCUAAGACGUUUCUUCUUGUUUUCGUUGUUGUCGUCCGUGUGUUGCCCCGGGCCAUUUCCUCGGCCUCUCUCGUGCCGCCCUCCCCCCUUCUCCUCCCCCCUUCUCCCCUGUCUCUUUUUCGGCUCGCCUUUUUCAGUGCUGGCGUGCGCUGCGCCUCCGCUCAGAUUCACGGAUAAAGACACGGUGUCGCGCCAUCAUAGCACAGCGGCAACGGGAAAGAAGUUGUGCCUAGUAUUCUCUUGCACCCAUACAUACACUGUCAGCAUGCUCCGCAAUAAGAUUCGGUGGGCGAGCGUCCUCGGCGCGCAGCGCUGCGGUAGAGGUGUUGCUUGCCGUAGCAACGGCCUGCUUGCUGGUCGAAGCAUACCCGUUGAAGCACCGCGCGCGUUGACGGUGUCGUCGUCUUCACAUGCCCUGACGCCGUUCUUGAGACCCGUCGCGGCAGCCAUGGCACUGACGCAGCAGGUCCGCUUUGCCUCUACGACGUCGACCCCCUCCGCUACAGCCACAGCCACGUCGGCCGCCGCAGAUGCGGGAACGCAUGUCUAUAAGUCGCGGUUUCCCUCGGUGAUGGACAAGGUGAACACGGAGAGAACCCUCUACGAGUACCUCAUGAAGCGUAUAAAGGCGAAGGACCCGAAGAAAAUCGCUGCCGUUCAGGCGGAAAACGGCAAGGAGCUGACCUACUCCAAGGUCAUACAGGCCACCGACUGGUGCGCGCGAGCGCUGUACCAUCACGCCAAGGUCCGCAAGGGCGAUGUGGUGUGCAUGUGCAUGCUGAAUACUAUUAUUUACGGCCCUGUGGUGUACGGUGCGUUGCGCCUCGGCGCCCUCGUCUCCCCGGUGAACGCAAUCGCGGAGCCGUCGCUUCUCGCAUACUUCAUGACAGAGACCAACGCCAAGGUCAUUCUCGGCAUGCGUUACUUCCGCAAGCAGCUUGAGGAGGCCGUCGCCAUUGUGGAGAAGGACACGGGCAGGAAGGUGGCCAUCCACUACCCGGAGGACUUCUUCAAGAGGUGGUACAUCUGGCCUGUGCCGCGCAGCUACGAUGGGCUGAAGGGCGCCUCCCUCGACGAUACCGUCGUCAUCCCCUUCUCCAGCGGCACGGGCGGCUUGUCCAAGGGUGUGAAGCUGUCGAAUCGAGCACUCAUCGCCAACUCGGAGCAGCUGGGGGCGGCCUUCGAGUUCUCGCCGGACGACGCGGGCAUCACGAUCCUGCCAUUCUUCCACAUCUACGGCUUCACUGCCUGUCUCAACGCUGGCUACGCCCACGGCGUGAUGCAGAUCGUCAUGUACAAGUACACCGUCGAGGACUACCUAAAGGCGUCCGAGAAGUACAAGGCGACGAUCAACCUCGUCGCCCCGCCGAUCCUCAUCUCGCUGCUCAAGAACGCGGACAAGGUGAAGCACACGGACCUGUCGUCGCUCAAGCGCUUCUGCUGCGGGGCAGCCCCGCUCGGCCCCGAGACGGUGGAGGCGAUAGAGAAGAUGCUGCCCAGAGUCUCCGUCACGCAGGCCUACGGCAUGACGGAGAUGGCGCCGGCCGUGACGGUGCCCAAUGGGCUGCGGCACAAGGUGCCAGGCGCCUGCGGUGUGCUUGUGGCGGACACGGAGCUACGCAUCGUGAAGGUGGACGACAGCCAGCAGAGCGGCACAGACAAGUCUUGCGGCAUCGACGCAGAGCCCGGCGCGGAGGGUGAGGUGUGGGUGCGUGGUCCGCAGAUGAUGAAGGGCUAUUUGCGCGAUGAGGACACGGCCAUGUGCAUGCAGGACGGCUGGUACCGCACUGGCGACAUCGGCAAGUUCGACGCUGAGGCCGGCGAGCUCGUCAUCACGGACCGGCUGAAGGAGCUGAUCAAGUACAAGGGCUUUCAGGUGUCGCCGGCUUCCCUGGAGGCGCUCUUGCUGACGCACCCGUGGGUGAAGGACUGCGUGGUGAUUGGCGUGCCGGACCCGCGCGACGUGAGCUUCGAGAACCCGCGUGCGCUUGUGUCUCUCCAGCCGUCAGUGUCUCCCAAAGACGCCGUGCGUGCGUCGGACGAGCUGUACCGCUUCGUCAUGUCGCGCAUGCCCCCGCACAAGCGGCUGCACGGCGGUGUGCGCAUUGUCAGUGAAGUGCCGCGCAACUUGUCUGGCAAGCUGCUGCGCCGGCAGGCCCGCAAGGAUGAGGCGGAGCUGAUCAAAGCGCAGAUGGAGAAGGCGAGCGCGGCCAGGACGAAGUCAGCGAAGGAGGCGGCGAACGCAUCCGCCUCGGAUUGACGAGGCAUAGAGACGGAAAAAGGGCUCCCCGAAGUCCCAUGACAAGUAUGAGCUCUCGCUCUCGGUGUACGUGAAUGUGUGUGUGUGUGUGUGUGUGUGUGUGUGUGUGUGUGUGGAGGCGAUUGGCGAAAUCAGGGCAACCCCCCCCUCUCUCUUUCUUUUCACUCGUGCGGCACGUCUCAUCACAGCUCACUCGUCUCCGCUGGGCCGUCACACACACACACACACUUGUUGUAUAGUGUACUGCUCUCUUCCUCUCUCUAAUCUGAAUGUUUUUUUUUUGUUUUGCACGUUGUGCUAGUUGUGCUCGAUGGUUUUUUUGGGGGGAGGAAAGGGGCGUUGCUGCCGUUGGUGUAUACCCCCGCCCCCCUCCCCCUCCCUCGUCCGGGAAGAAGACCAUUGCAUUUCAUUACGUGCGUGCGUGCUUCUGUCUUCUCCUCGUACUCCCUUAGGUGUUUUUUUCUUUGUGCUCGAUGUCUUCCUUCGACCUGUGAUAAUCUCCUACCUUUCUCGAAGAGUGGAGCCCCGCCCUCUUCGUGGCAGCGCCCGCCCACACACACACACGCGCACUCCACCUUCCGGUUUUGUUUGUUUUUAUCUUACGGCACCGUGCCAUUGGCAAAUCAUCCCUUACUUUGUGAACGCUCUACGUAUACACUCUUGUACCCCUGCCACACCUCCCGCGGCCUCGCACAUGCACAUACACCCCCCCCUCCCUGCAGCCCUUCCCCUCCUCUAUCUCGGCUUGCCUUGUGUGUAUGCCUUGUGAAACAAAUCCCUCUCUUUCUGUCGCAACGAUGCCGACCACACUGACCUCGUCUUCCACCCCUUUCUCUCUGCCUAACAUGUGCUCAG